AAGCUCGUAGUUGAAUUUCGGGGUCAGUAGGUUGGUCGUGCCACCGGUACGUACUGGUCUCACUGAUUCCUCCUUCCUGAUGAGCUGUAAUGCCAUUAAUUUGGUGUUGCAGGGGAUCUGGACUGUUACUUUGAAAAAAUUAGAGUGUUUAAAGCAGGCUAACGCUUGAAUACAUUAGCAUGGAAUAAUGAAAUAGGACGUUCGAUCCUAUUUUGUUGGUUUCUAGGAUUGACGUAAUGAUUAAUAGGGAUAGUUGGG
rnacentral:rRNA from 1 species